rnacentral:rRNA from 1 species
CGCGUAGGUUGUUUGUUAAGUUAGAUGUGAAAUGUGCGGGCUUAACCUGCAUUCGUCAUCUAAUACUGGCAGGCUAGAGUACAGUAGAGGGUAGCGGAAUUUCCGGUGUAGCAGUGAAAUGCGUAGAUAUCGGAAGGAACACCAGUGGCGAAGGCGGCUACCUGGACUGAUACUGACACUGAGGCGCGAAAGCGUGGUUAGCGAACA